rnacentral:rRNA from 1 species
GUGGGGAAUUUUGGACAAUGGGGGCAACCCUGAUCCAGCAAUGCCGCGUGCAGGAAGAAGGCCUUCGGGUUGUAAACUGCUUUUGUACGGAACGAAAAGGCUCUGGUUAAUACCUGGGGCACAUGACGGUACCGUAAGAAUAAGCACCGGCUAACUACGUGCCAGCAGCCGCGGUAAUACGUAGGGUGCAAGCGUUAAUCGGAAUUACUGGGCGUAAAGCGUGCGCAGGCGGUGCUGUAAGACAGGCGUGAAAUCCCCUGGCUUAACCUGGGAAUGGCGCUUGUGACUGCAGUGCUGGAGUGCGGCAGAGGGGGAUGGAAUUCCGCGUGUAGCAGUGAAAUGCGUAGAUAUGCGGAGGAACACCGAUGGCGAAGGCAAUCCCCUGGGCCUGCACUGACGCUCAUGCACGAAAGCGUGGGGAGCAAACAGGAUUAGAAACCCCGGUAGUCC